rnacentral:rRNA from 1 species
GAUCAUGGCUCAGAUUGAACGCUGGCGGCAGGCCUAACACAUGCAAGUCGAGCGGUAACACAGGGAGCUUGCUCCUGGGUGACGAGCGGCGGACGGGUGAGUAAUGUCUGGGAAACUGCCUGAUGGAGGGGGAUAACUACUGGAAACGGUAGCUAAUACCGCAUAACGUCGCAAGACCAAAGAGGGGGACCUUCGGGCCUCUUGCCAUCAGAUGUGCCCAGAUGGGAUUAGCUAGUAGGUGGGGUAACGGCUCACCUAGGCGACGAUCCCUAGCUGGUCUGAGAGGAUGACCAGCCACACUGGGACUGAGACACGGCCCAGACUCCUACGGGAGGCAGCAGUGGGGAAUUUUGGACAAUGGGCGCAAGCCUGAUCCAGCAAUGCCGCGUGCAGGAAGAAGGCCUUCGGGUUGUAAACUGCUUUUGUACGGAACGAAAAGGUCCGGGUUAAUACCCUGGGCUCAUGACGGUACCGUAAGAAUAAGCACCGGCUAACUACGUG